rnacentral:rRNA from 1 species
GACGAACGCUGGCGGCGCGCUUAACACAUGCAAGUCGAACGGAAAGGCCUGCUUUCCCUUGUGGAUUGCGGGUACUCGAGUGGCGAAAGGGUGAGUAACACGUGAGUUAGCUGUUCCCAAAUUGGGAAUAAGCCGGGGAAACUGCGGCUAAUUCCCGCUAGGACUGCAGGGGGGUGCCUGUGGUGGAAAACGUUUUUCUUGUGGUUGGGGUUGAGCUCGCGGCGGAUCAGGUUGUUGGUGGGGUAAUGGCCUACGAAGACGGCGACAGGUAGCCGGCCUGGGAGGGUGGACGGCCGAAUUGGGACUGAGACACGGCCCAUGAGACAACGCGCAGAAGCAGACGGGAAUCAUGCGCGAGGGGCGGAGGCCUGAGGCCGCGACGCCGCGUGGGGAAUGACGGCCGUCGGGUUGUAGACUCCUGUCGACCGAGAGGAAGCCACUUUGUUGGAAGGGUGGUGACGGUAGUGGUAGAAGAAGCACCGGCUAACUACGUG